UUUGGAGGUCUAAAUGUCCCGAAGGCACCAAAUCCCUAUCAGAUCUUGGAAGCUAUGCAGAGUCAGCCUUGGUAAGUACUUGGAUGGGGGACUGCCAAUGAAUACCAGAUGCUGUAGGCU
rfam:Anolis carolinensis chromosome 1, whole genome shotgun sequence.